rnacentral:rRNA from 1 species
GACGAACGCUGGCGUCGUGCUUAACACAUGCAAGUCGAGCGGAAAGGCCACUUCGGUGGUACUCGAACGGCGAACGGGUGAGUAACACGUGAGUAAUCUGCCCCUGGCUUUGUGAUAGCCACCGGAAACGGUGAUUAAUACCGGAUACGACCACUUCUCGCAUGGGAUGGUGGUGGAAAGUUUUUUCGGCCAGGGAUGUGCACGCGGCCUAUCAGCUUGAUGGUGAGGUAAUGGCUCACCAUGGCUUCGACGGGUAGCCGGCCUGAGAGGGUGCCCGGUCACACUGGGACUGGGGCACGGGCCAGACGUCUACGGGAGGAAGCAGUAGGGAAUAUUGGACAAUGGGCGGAAGCCUGAUCCAGCAACGCCGCGUGAGGGAUGACGGCCUUCGGGUUGUAAAGCUCUUUCAGCAGGGACGAAGCGCAAGUGACGGUACCUGCAGAAGAAGCACCGGCCAACUACGUGCCAGCCGCCGCGGUAA